rnacentral:rRNA from 1 species
GACGAACGCUGGCGGCGUGCUUAACACAUGCAAGUCGAACGAGAAUCUACUGAAAGAGUUUUCGGACAAUGGAUGUAGAGGAAAGUGGCGGACGGGUGAGUAACGCGUGAGGAACCUGCCUUGAAGAGGGGGACAACAGUUGGAAACGACUGCUAAUACCGCAUGACGCAUAGAGGUCGCAUGAUCUUUAUGCCAAAGAUUUAUCGCUUCAAGAUGGCCUCGCGUCUGAUUAGCUGGUUGGCGGGGUAACGGCCCACCAAGGCGACGAUCAGUAGCCGGACUGAGAGGUUGAACGGCCACAUUGGGACUGAGAUACGGCCCAGACUCCUACGGGAGGCAGCAGUGGGGAAUAUUGGGCAAUGGGCGCAAGCCUGACCCAGCAACGCCGCGUGAAGGAAGAAGGCUUUCGGGUUGUAAACUUCUUUUAAGAGGGAAGAGCAGAAGACGGUACCUCUAGAAUAAGCCACGGCUAACUACGUGCCAGCAGCCGCGGU